GUGAGUCAUCGAAUCUUUGAACGCACCUUGCGCCCUUUGGUAUUCCGAUGGGCAUGCCUGUUCGAGUGUCUUGAAAUCUUCGCUGCCUUCCGGUUUUGUGACUGGCUGGUGUGCGGACUUGGGGGCCUGCCACGGUGACGUGGCUCCCCUCGAAUGCAUCGGUGGGCUCUCUGAGCACCCAUGGGCGUUGUAUUGUCCUCGUCCGACUGGGCCUCGUGUCCCCACCCUGACCCGCCAUACGAGUGGCGGUCAAGUGACACUUUGAAAUCUGACCUCGAAUCAGGUAGGACUACCCGCUGAACUUAAGCAUAUCAAUAAGCGGAGGA
rnacentral:misc_RNA from 1 species